ensembl:lncRNA
AGAUAUUAGGGUCAGAUAUUAGGGUCAGACAUUAGGGUCAGAUAUUAGGGUCAGACAUUAGGGUCAGAUAUUAGGGUCAGACAUUAGGGUCAGACAUUAGGGUCAGAUAUUAGGGUUAGAUAUUAGGGUCAGACAUUAGGGUCAGACAUUAGGGUCAGAAAUUAGGGUUAGCAGUGUGGUUAAGGUUAGGGUCAGACAUUAGGGUUAGCAGUGUGGUUAAGGUUAGGGUCAGACAUUAGGGUUAGCAGUGUGGUUAAGGUUAAGGUCAAACAUUAGGGUUAGCAGUGUGGUUAAGGUUAGGGUCAGACAUUAGGGUCAGACAUUAGGGUCAGACAUUAGGGUCAGAUAUUAGGGUCAGAUAUUAGGGUCAGACAUUAGGGUUAGCAGUGUGGUUAA